rnacentral:rRNA from 1 species
UACGUAGGGUGCAAGCGUUGUCCGGAAUUAUUGGGCGUAAAGGGCUCGUAGGCGGCCAACUAAGUCAGACGUGAAAUCCCCAGGCUCAACCUGGGAACUGCGUCUGAUACUGGUUGGCUUGAAUCCGGGAGAGGGAUGCAGAAUUCCAGGUGUAGCGGUGAAAUGCGUAGAUAUCUGGAGGAAUACCGGUGGCGAAGGCGGCAUCCUGGACCGGCAUUGACGCUGAGGAGCGAAAGCCAGGGGAGCAAACGGG